AACUAAAAGCUAUACGAUUAGCAACGGAGUAAUGGGAGUUUGAGUUAAUAAACAUUAGAAUAAAACUAGUCCCACAGUAAAAGAAAAAAUAAAACAGCACAUUAAUAAAACAAACGAUAUUUGACUCUAAAAUUGCCUCAAUUUUAUUGGUUUACAAAGCGAAAUGUGGAUGUACGAAUACGUUUGAAGCAUGAGAUUAGAGCAAUUUAUUUGGACGGAAGACUGGAAUUAAAAGGAUGAAUUAAUUUACUGGAUUGUCUUGAUUUCUGUAGGGCUCCAGCUAUUAUUUUUCUUCAAUAAGGAACAACGAACGAGGAAUUUACAAUUCUCAGAAGACAGACAGAUGCGCCUUCGCUCUCUUAUUCCCACAACAGUAGCCCUCCUUUGAGACAUUUUGACAUCUUAGAUAAGUCAGCUACAUAAUGUUUGAGUAUAUAUUUAAAUUCUAUCUUUUAGAUAAUAUAGAAUCUAAGACUUUUCUGUUGGACAAUCAGCAGAUUUACUGUUGAAUUUCUGAUAAGAUUCUUCGUUCCAAUAAUUUGCAGAAAUUACAAAUUACUCUUUUUAAAGCUAUUAUUAUAAGAUUGCAUUAUAAAUGGAUGGCCUGAUUAAGAAUGUUGUCCCCAACAUUUUUGUGAAGUAAAUGUUCUUAAUA